GAUGAAGAACGCAGUGAAAUGCGAUACUUGGUGUGAAUUGCAGAAUCCCGUGAACCAUCGAGUCUUUGAACGCAAGUUGCGCCCGAAGCCAUUAGGCCGAGGGCACGCCUGCCUGGGCGUCACACGUCGUUGCCCCCCCAUCUACUCCUUCGGGAUUGCGGGGGGCGGAUGAUGGCCUCCCGUGCGCCUCGUCGCGCGGUUGGCAUAAAUGCCAAGUCCUCGGCGACGCACGCCACGACAAUCGGUGGUUGCGAAACCUCGGUUGCCCGUCGUGUGCGGUCGUCGCGCAUCGAGGGCUCGAAAAAAUUGUCGGGCUCCGGCUCGGCUUUCAACGCGACCCCAGGUCAGGCGGGGUUACCCGCUGAAUUUAAGCAUAUCAAUAAGCGGAGGA
rnacentral:misc_RNA from 1 species